UAAAACCCUCCAACCAGCACCACACAAUCGAAAGUUCUCAAGAGGGGUAAAGGAAAUAAUGGCUAUUGUAACGGGGUUUCAAGCAUGCAGCGGAUGCAGCCUGAUCCCAACAUGGCCACGCUUCCUCAACCUUCCAAACAUCAGGAGGUUUUCUACCAGGGCUACUACGGUCAGCAUAACAAUGGGCGGAACGGGAAUCCCCAGAGCUAUCCGAACUAUCCAAAUGGACCUAAUGCUUAUGAAACAAUGAGCUACAGCUUCUACGCUCAGGUUCGUUGCCCACCGUAUUAAUUAUAUUAGCAGAUGAACCGACAAUACUGAGCUUCUUCUAAGGGUGCUCAGUGGAUUUCCACAAUUAUCCCUGGAUGUUCAUCUUAUAUAUAAAGGCUUUGCUCUAUCUGAAGCAACCUUUUUAAAUAAUGCCGGGGUAUCAUCUAUCUACCUAGCACCUACUGCAAUGUGUAUCAGUUUGCCGCAUAUGUAUUAACUUUAACACACAAAUAAAACUACUUAAUCCAGCGUAAGCACUAUGGUGUAUUAGGCUUGAAUGUCAGUUUGAUCUUCAUAUUUGGACGUUAAUUGUCUGAAAUUAGAAACUGAAUACGGAGAAUGAAAGGCGAAGAAGCAAUGAAAUGUACAGAAAUACAAAUACACAAAAGGGCAAGGUAAGUCGAGCCAAGGCAAACUUGACAAGGUUUUUAGGGGUUGUGUAUUCUAUCAUCCAAUUAGUGCCUCAAAAUGAGAGGUAAACAUACAUUAGCCAAACUUUUCUU
rnacentral:lncRNA from 1 species